GUAUGGCUCAGGACGAACGCUGGCGGCGUGCUUAACACAUGCAAGUCGAACGAGAAUCUAUUGAAGGAGUUUUCGGACAACGGAUAUAGAGGACAGUGGCGGACGGGUGAGUAACGCGUGAGGAACCUGCCUUUCAGAGGGGGACGAACAGUUGGAAACGACUGCUAAUACCGCAUGACACAUAGGUGUCGCAUGGCACUUAUGUCAAAGAUUUAUCGCUGAAAGAUGGCCUCGCG
rnacentral:rRNA from 1 species